GUGAGGAAUAUUGGUCAAUGGGCGAAAGCCUGAACCAGCCAUGUCGCGUGAAGGAUGAAGGUCCUAUGGAUUGUAAACUUCUUUUGCAGGAGGGUAAAGUGAGCUACGUGUAGUUCAUUGCAAGUACCCUGCGAAUAAGCAUCGGCUAACUCCGUGCCAGCAGCCGCGGUAAUACGGAGGAUGCGAGCGUUAUCCGGAUUUAUUGGGUUUAAAGGGUGCGUAGGCGGACUAAUUAGUCAGAGGUGAAAUUUUGCGGCUCAACUGUAAAACUGCCGUUGAAACUGUUAGUCUUGAGUGCGGUAGAGGUAGGCGGAAUGUGUGGUGUAGCGGUGAAAUGCUUAGAUAUCACACAGAACACCGAUUGCGUAGGCAGCUUACUGGAGCGCAACUGACGCUGAGGCACGAAAGCGUGGGGAUCGAACAGGAUUAGAUACCCCGGUAGUCC
rnacentral:rRNA from 1 species